CCUACGGGUGGCUGCAGUGGGGGAUAUUGCACAAUGGGGGGAACCCUGAUGCAGCGACGCAGCGUGGGUGAAGAAGCGCCUCGGCGCGUAAAGCUCUGUCAGUAGGGAAGAAAAUGACGGUACGUGAAGAAGAAGCCCCGGAUAACUACGUGCCAGCAGCCGUGGUAAUACGGAGGGGGCAAGCGUUAUCCGGAUUUACUGGGUGUAAAGGGGGCGCAGACGGCGAUGCAAGCCAGGAGUGAAAGCCUGGGGCCCAACCCCGGGACUGCUCGUGGAACUGCGUGGCUGGAGUGCAGGAGGGGCAGGCGGAAUUCCUGGUGUAGCGGUGAAAUGCGUAGAUAUCAGGAGGAACACCGGUUGCGAAGGCGGCCUGCUGGACUGCAACUGACGUUGAGGCCCGAAAGCGUGGGGAGCAAACAGGAUUAGAUACCCGGGUAGUC
rnacentral:rRNA from 1 species